GGUCCGGUGGUGUAGUGGUUUAUCACCUCGUUCUUAUAGCAGCACCGCAAGGUGCUACAUAUGCAAUGCGAAGGUCCCGGGUUCAAUCCCCGGUCGGUCCA